CUCGCAGUACUGGUGAACCAACUAAACUAUACCUAUACCACCAAACAAAGUAAAAGAGAAAGUUGCAUAACCGUCCAGUUUUUCGAAAAAGUAACAUGGAAUUGUAUUCGUAAAAAGAGCAAAGCGACGAUAAAUUCUACCGAUGAAGUGAUUAAAUCUCAAGAAGAUACUAUACCAAACAAAGAAAAAGAGAAGGUUGCAGAACCGUCCAGUGUUUCGGAUUCUAACUUUACAAGGCAGCCAAGUUUGAAACGCAAAUCUGGCAGCCAAGUUUGAAACGCAAAUCUGCACACGAUGGCGUUCCUUCGUCAAGUGUUUCGGAUUGCAACUUUACAGGACAGCCAAGUUUGAAACGCCAAUCUGCACACGAUUGCGUUCCUCCGUCCAGUGUUUAGAAUUGCAACUUUACAAGGCAGCCAAGUUUGAAAUGCAGAACCGUCCAGUGUUUUCAAAAGUAACAUUACAAGGAAUUCUAUUCGUAAAAAGACCAAAGCGACAAUAAAUACUGCCGAAGAAAAACUAUACCUUUACCACCAAACAAAGAAAAAGAGAAAGUUGCAGAACCAUCCAGUAUUUCGGAUUGCAACUUUAUAAGUCAGCCAAGAUUUAAAUCAAAUCAAAAAUCAUUUAUUUCAAGUAGGCUCAGUUUACAAGCACUUUUGACACGUCAGUUGACUAUUUGUAAAAAUUCUACCACCGGUUCGGAAGGCAGGUUCUGCUGAGAAGAUACCGACAAGAAACUCAACAGUUGCUCUUUUGAAAAAGUCAUACAGUAUUACAAUUUACAUUUGAUAACAAUUAAAUUACAAUUUCUUAUAGUUUUAUUUCCUGUGUGAAGGUGGAAGCUGAUCCAAUGGCCUCCAAGCACCUUUGUCGUUAAGGAAAUCGAAACGCAAAUCUGCACACUUUGACGUUCCUCCUUCCAGUAUUUCGGAUUGUAACUUUACUAAGCAGCCAAGUUUGAAACGCAAAUCUGACAGCCAAGUUUGAAACGCAAAUCUGCACACGAUGGCGUUCCUUCGUCAAGUGUUUCGGAUUGCAACUUUACAAGACAGCCAAGUUUGAAACGCCAAUCUGCACACGAUUGCGUUCCGCCGUCAAGUGUUUCGAAUUGCAACUUUACAAGGCAGCCAAGUUUGAAAUGCAAAUCAGCACACUUUGGCGUACCUCUGUCCAGUGUUUUGGAUUCUAACUUUAAAAGGCAGCCAAGUUUGAAACGCAAAUCUGCACACUUUGCCGUUCCUCCGUCCAGUGUUUUGGAUUGUAACUUUAAAAUACAGCCAAGUUUGAAACGCAAAUCAUCACACGUUGGCGUUGACAUUCAGGUGAAUAAGGUCAAUAUUAACUAAUCUAUAAAGCUGAAGAAAGAAUACCACCAAACAAAGAAAAAGAGAAAGUUGCUGAACCGUCCACGUCCAGUGUUUUGAAAAGUAACAUUACAAGGAAUUCUAUUCGUAAAAA
rnacentral:lncRNA from 1 species